rnacentral:rRNA from 1 species
UACAGAGGUCCCAAGCGUUGUUCGGAUUCACUGGGCGUAAAGGGUGCGUAGGUGGUGAGGUAAGUCGGAUGUGAAAUCCCCGGGCUCAACCCGGAAACUGCAUUGGAAACUACCUUGCUUGAGGAUUUGAGGGGGGAUUGGAAUACUUGGUGUAGCAGUGAAAUGCGUAGAUAUCAAGUGGAACACCAGUGGCGAAGGCGAAUCCCUGGAAAAUACCUGACACUGAGGCACGAAAGCUAGGGGAGCAAACAGG